UACGUAGGGGGCAAGCGUUGUCCGGAUUUAUUGGGCGUAAAGAGCGUGUAGGCGGUUUGGUAGGUCCGCUGUGAAAACUCGAGGCUCAACCUCGAGACGCCGGUGGAAACCAUCGGGCUAGAGUCCGGAAGAGGAGAGUGGAAUUCCUGGUGUAGCGGUGAAAUGCGCAGAUAUCAGGAAGAACACCCGUGGCUAAGGCGGCUCUCUAGUACGGUACUGACGCUGAGACGCGAAAGCGUGGGGAGCGAACAGG
rnacentral:rRNA from 1 species